CUGUUUGGUGUAAUGUUCUAAUUAUACCUUGUUUGCUUUGUGUAUGAUUGUCUCCAUUGGAUUGCGUGUUGUUGAUUGAUGUUUGGGAAUAGACGGUGAGCCGUACGUUGGUGAUCAAGACCAAGCUUUUGAAGACCAGCGGGCUCAGGAGAGCUUUGAGCAAGGCAAGUAUAACUUGGGAUUAUCUUUGUUACCUAUACACAAUUAAUACAAUAUUGAUCAUAUGCAUGCUAUCACCUUGUCGACCUUAGCAAAAUCAUAGAUGGUUGUUAUCCUGAAUUACUUGUUACCUAUUUGGAUAUGCAUUUGGGUAGUUCUUGCUAGUGCUUGAUUAUUAAUCCAUGAUCUUGUGACAUGAAUAUUUGAAUAUACAAUAAACAAUAAAGUAAGCUUUCUAGCAACUUGAAUAUAAAGGGUGGAAAGAACUCUGGCUUUUGCUGGAUUGAUCUUGACCCUCCAUAAGGACUUAUCCCUUGGCAAAAGUUGGGACAACUCGUACAACCAUGAGGGCUAUAUGGCUCUGGCUUUAGCUCAGUAUGAAGACCUUUUCUAGCUUGUUAGCGGUUACCUGAAAGGGCGCUAGAGGGGCUGAACCGACACGGGUAUAGUGCGAGCCCCUGUCCCUAUGUGUAUAGGCUGCGCGUCAUUGUGCCAUUCGGAAGGGGGUAUCUAUAUCUGCUCACGAAGGAAACCUUGCGGCCCUAACAUGUUAGACGAACUUUUGAAAGGCUUCAUAGUGAUCCCUGCCGACCUCCCUUGGAAGGGGGUUAAGAGAUUAGCUACCUCGGGCGAAAGGGUAAAUCAUGACUCAUGGUUAAAGAUGUACAACCUCUGCAGAGUGUUAAAUCUGGUAUACUAGCCGUGCCCACGGAUACGGGCGGCCCGGAAAACUGACGGAAUAGAUGGACACCGAUGAACGUGAAUAAUGAUAAUAAAUGAUGGUUUAUUAUGUUGUUUAUAUGUGUUAUUCUUAAUUCUUGUAUACAUUGAUCAUGUGGUUAUGGGAUUUAUUAUGCUACCUUGAUAUUUGCUAUUCAAUGAUUAAACAUGCUAUCAACUAUUAAAAGCUAAAUGCAGUCAAACCAGUGUCAGCUAUUUGAGCCUCAUGAACCUCUGGUUAUACUUAUUGAGUACGAUAUGUGCUCACUCUUGCAAUUUCCCAACACCCCAGGUUAUGCUAAUGAUGAUGACUGGAAUGAGGAUUACCGCUAUGAGUACUAGGUUUGGAGUCAACCAGUCAACAGUGUCCCUGUGUGGAGCUUCCGUCGAGAGCGUUGUUUACUUCUUGCUAUCAUUUUUGUAUGAGACUAUGUGAUAUCUUAUAUUCCGCUAUGUAAUAAACACUGCAAUGGUACAGUUGAGAUUUGUCUACUUAUGUGUGCGACUAUUCCUGGGGCACAUAUGAGUCUUUUAUGCA
rnacentral:lncRNA from 1 species